UCCUCAGUCAUCAGGAAGUCAAAAGUAGACAGUGUUGGUAGAAUGUGUAUGCAUCGAGAAGUGAAAUAAAAAAGAGUGAGCUAGUUUUCUGCAGCCUUUCCACUUCUGGUAAGAAAAUCUAGCUGGUCUGAUGUCAUACCUUUCUGUGAUACUUUGGCAUUUUUGAAAUGAAAGGCAACUGGCUUAAACCCAGCUAUAGGAAAAUCAAUGCGCUAGCACGAACCUGGUUCGUCUGAAGGGAAGAGCGCUUAUUAAAUGAAAGCUGUAUAUAAAACUGCAAAGAAACAUAACGUCACAUGUUGGAAAGGAAGUUAAAGAAGAAUUAAAACAAGCUGUGAUGAUCUUAACAAAGACACACAAAACCUGUUACGAGGAAGAGUUGUUUGGUCAAAUUUCCUGUUUUUCCCUAAGCCCUGGUUUGUUUUAAACACGUCUUCAGCGCACAGUUUACUGCUGCUGAUUAACAUUCCUACGUGUCCAGUCCAGAACUGCUCUCCAGGACUUUUUACUUAAAGAUACUCUAAACAAUGUGGAUGUUCUCUUUCUUCUUCAGAUUGAGGAGUUGACCAUAAUUAGAAGAUGAUAAACCGUGGCCUGAAAUAGCUGAAAAUUACUAUUAGAAAGUAGAAAGUUAUUCAAGUAUGGGUUAAUAAAAGAGUCACACAAUGAAAGUUUCACAAAGUGUCUCUUUAACCCUAAGCAAUCUUACCAUAGGAUUCGAGAAAUCAGCUUGGACUGCUACAAAGCACAUCAAAUCAAAGCCACCC